rnacentral:lncRNA from 12 species
GUCAUCUCACGGCCGAGGAGGGAAAACAGACCAGAAGGACCAGGCCCGCGAGGCCGCCAGCGCCUCAGAGGACCGCGACCACCCCCCCACCCCACACCACCCCCCGCCCCGGGACCGGGCCAGGCCCGGCGCCCCCUCCAGGCCUCAGUCCUUGCUGCUGCGGGUGGUCGCCUCCCGGAGGGGAAGGGGCUGCGGGGCGAGGGCGGGACUCGUCACAUUCGGGCAGCAGGAAAUGAUCUGGUAAAUAUUUGAUGUGCCUCUUAAAAUACCUGGGCUGAGGGCAGCCGGGGCGGGGGGAGUCAGCGGUUUAGCGCCGCCUUCGGCCCAGGGCAUGGUCCUGGAGACCCGGGAUCGAGUCCCGCGUCGGGCUCCCUGCAUGGAGCCUGCUUCUCCCUCUGCCUGUGUCUCUGCCUCUCUCUCUGUGUCUCUCAUGAAUAAAUAAAUAAAAAUAUUUUUAAAAACUAUCUGGGCUGAGAGAGGCCUUGGCCAGUGUGGGGAGGGGGCAGCUGGGGCCUCAGAGGGGGCGCCUGGGGCUGCAGGACCCUCCCUUGAGAGGAGAGAGAGAAGGGGGCCGGGGAGGAGAGGCCAGGCCUGGGGGGGCUCCAGCAGCAGAACAAUGGGGUGUCUGGGGCCCAGAGCCCUCGCUGUGGAGACUGCCUGCUCUGGGGGCAGGAUGGCCGAUGGGGAUUCUUGGUCCCCCUGCCCCCCAGGGCCAGCAGGGCAGUGCUGCCCUGCUCCUGUGGGGAGGACCUGAGCUGGGGGUAUCCUGGAGCCACGGGGGGCCCUGGGGUCACGGGGGGGGGGACCCUGGAGCUAGCAGGGGGCCCUGGGGCCACGAGGGGGAGGAGCCUGGAGCCACGGGGGCCUGGAGCCAGCAGAGGCGGGGGCAUGUGCUGCGUCAGGGCCGCCCACCAGCAGCCUGGGCUGGGAUCCCGGAGCUUCUGCAUCUGCCUUUUCCCUGAGGCCGAGUGUUCAGCGCCUGGAGAUGAGGCCCAUCUUCCUCCCGUACUUGGACCCGGCUCCUCCUUCCAGCUUGAGCCAAACCAGCAGCGGAGGGCGGACACGACACAGUGCACCCCUUGGAGAGCGGGGAACCCGUGGGAGGUUCCCAGGGUGACCCAGGAAUAUGACAGGCCACAUCCAGCUGCCCACCCGUCCGUCUGCUCCUGCCUUAACCUCCCUCAGGCGACUGCAGGGGCCCUCGGGAGGGAACCCGCCCCGCGGCCAUAGCGAGCGUACCCCAGCUGCCCCCUCACGACAGUGGGGCUGAGUAUAGAGUAAGUGGACUGGUCAGGACGGGAGGGGCCGUGCAGGGGUGACCCGACCGUCUGCCCUGUCCCAGCCCCACAGGCAGCUGGGCCCCGUCCCCCGAGGCCCCCCGUGACCCGCCCCUGCCCUCUCUGCCCUCCUGCACAGCCUUCGCCAUCCUCCCUGUGCUGCCUACAGGUCAGCCCCCUGGUCCCUCGUCCCUCUCUGGGUGACUCCGGGGCUGCUCCCCUGCGUCAGAUGGGGUCACACCGAGGACAGCGCCCCCCAGCAGGAGCGGGGACAUCAGCGCCCCCCCACCCCAGCCAGGACCUGGAGGUCCUCCUGUCCCCGCGGCAAGUGGCCCAAUGUUGGUGGAGGCACUUCCGGGAGUGACAGAAGAGGAAGAGGAAGAGGAAAAGGAAGAGGAAGAGCCUGAGCGUCCUGAGGGACUCAGGCCCACUUGGACUCAGGCAUCCCGGCCACGUCUGGGGGCUGAGAACCUCGCCUCAGAAAUGAUGCUCCUACUACCGGGAGCUGCAACGGGGCCCCUGCGGGUCUGAAAGGACCAUCGCUGUGCACUGUCCCCGGGAGGGACCACCCAGGUGCCUGCGGAGGGGCCGCUGUGCUUGCAGCGUUCAGUACUGGGUGCUUGGUACUAGGUCCUUGGUCCUCAGUACUGGGUCCUCAGUGCUCAGCACUCAGUGCUUGGUACUCAGACCUUAGUGCCCAGUACUCAGUCUUUGGUACCCGGUCUUUGGUCCUCAGUACUUGGUACUGGGUCCUCAGUCCUUGGUGCUUGGUCCUCAGUCCUCUGUGCUCAGUACCCAGGCCUCAGUGUUUGGUGCUCAGCAGUCAGUGCUCAGUGCUUGGUACUCAGUCCUCAGUGCUCCGCGCUCAGUGCUCGUGUGGGGAAGCGCAGGGGCUGGAGCAGGGCUGUGUGCAGCACACCUGGGGCGGCCCCUGUGGACACCUGCUCCCAGAA